UACGGGGGGAGCAAGCGUUGUUCGGAUUUACUGGGCGUAAAGGGCGCGUAGGCGGCCAGCACAAGUCAGUUGUGAAAUCUCCGAGCUUAACUCGGAAAGGUCAACUGAUACUGUGCGGCUAGAGUGCGGAAGGGGCAACUGGAAUUCUUGGUGUAGCGGUGAAAUGCGUAGAUAUCAAGAGGAACACCUGCGGCGAAGGCGGGUUGCUGGGCCGACACUGACGCUGAUGUGCGAAAGCUAGGGGAGCGAACGGG
rnacentral:rRNA from 1 species